CGAACUCAGAAGUGAAACGAAAUAGCGCCGAUGGUAGUGUGGGGUUUCCCCAUGUGAGAGUAGGACAUCGCCAGGC
rnacentral:rRNA from 1 species